GAGUUUGAUCUUGGCUCAGAUUGAACGCUGGCGGCAUGCCUUACACAUGCAAGUCGAACGGCAGCACGGGAGCUUGCUCCUGGUGGCGAGUGGCGAACGGGUGAGUAAUGCAUCGGAACGUAUCCUGGAGUGGGGGAUAACGUAGCGAAAGUUACGCUAAUACCGCAUAUUCUGUGAGCAGGAAAGCGGGGGACCUUCGGGCCUCGCGCUCUUGGAGCGGCCGAUGUCGGAUUAGCUAGUUGGUGAGGUAAAGGCUCACCAAGGCGACGAUCCGUAGCAGGUCUGAGAGGAUGAUCUGCCACACUGGAACUGAGACACGGUCCAGACUCCUACGGGAGGCAGCAGUGGGAAUUUUGGACAAUGGGGGCAACCCUGAUCCAGCCAUGCCGCGUGAGUGAAGAAGGCCUUGGCGUGUAAAGCGUCUUUGUCGAGGAAGAAA
rnacentral:rRNA from 1 species